GGCAGCCCCUGCUUGGGGUAGCGGGAGGGCAGACUCUGGGCGCCACUCCCGGGCCGGUCAUGAACGGGCCGGCGGACGGCGAAGUGGACUACAAAAAAAAAUACCGGAAUCUGAAGCGGAAGCUCAAGUUCCUCAUCUACGAGCACGAGUGCUUCCAGGAGGAGCUGAGGAAAGCGCAAAGGAAAUUACUGAAGGUGUCCCGGGACAAGAGUUUCCUCCUAGACCGACUUCUGCAGUACGAGAACGUGGAUGAAGACUCUUCGGGGGCUUCCAGUUAACAUCCUGUUUGAGGGGAAUUCAGGGCAGGAGGUGGGAGAGAACCCAGCAUGUUCAUGGCCAGAGUGGGUUGCAUCUGAGGAGGAAGAGCCAGCGAUGCGAGCCCCACUCCUGUCCUGGAGGCUCACGCCCUGGCCAGGGAGACACUCGCAAACGACGCUUUUCAGCACAGUGUGAGGGCAGCCAUGACGAGAGUAGAGCGUUCCAGGAGAGCCUGCAGUUAACUGGGCUUGAGGGAUUCUGGAAGACUUCACAGAGGAGGUGGCAUUUAAUCUGCUUCUUAAAGG
rnacentral:sRNA from 1 species